rnacentral:rRNA from 1 species
CCUACGGGGGGCAGCAGUGGGGAAUAUUGCUCAAUGGGGGAAACCCUGAUGCAGCGACGCCGCGUGAGUGAAGAAGUACCUCGGUACGUAAAGCUCUAUCAGCAGGGAAGAAAAUGACGGUACCUGACUAAGAAGCCCCGGCUAACUACGUGCCAGCAGCCGCGGUAAUACGGAGGGGGCAAGCGUUAUUCGGAUUUACUGGGGGGAAAGGGAGCGUAGACGGCAGCACAAGUCUGGAGUGAAAUCCCUGGGCUUAACCCCGGAACUGCUUUUGAAACUGUGCUGCUGGAGUGGGGGAGGGGUAAGCGGAAUGCCUGGUGUAGCGGUGAAAUGCGUAGAUAUUAGGCAGAACCCCGAUUGCGAAGGCAGCUUACUGGACUGUAACUGACGUUGAGGCUCGAAAGCGUGGGGAGCAAACAGGAUUAGAUACCCCAGUAGUC